rnacentral:rRNA from 1 species
AGUGAACGCUGGCGGCGUGCCUAAUACAUGCAAGUCGAACGGAGUGGAGCAAGGGUGAGUAAUAUAUAGCUAAUCUGCCCCUUGCUGGAGGACAACAGUUAGAAAUGACUGCUAAUACUCCAUAGGAAGGGAUGAAACUAUAUCGUAUCAGCUAGUCGGUGGGGUAAAGGCCUACCGAGGCUAUGACGCGUAACUAGUCUGAGAGGAUGAUCAGGAACUUGGGAACUGAGACACGGUCCAAACUCCUACGGGAGUGAGCAGUAGGGUGUAUUGCGCAAUGGGGGAGACCCUGACGAAGCAACGCCGCGUGGAGGAUGACACUUUUCGGAGCGUAAACUCCUUUUGUUAGGGAAGCGGUACCUAACGAAUAAGCACCGGCUAACUCCGUGCCAGCAGCCGCGGUAAUAC